AAGGCCGAGAGCUGAUGACGAGUUACCUUUUAGGUAACGAAGUGGUUGAUGCCAUGCUUCCAAGAAAAGCUUCUAAGCUUCAGGUAACCAGGAACCGUACCCCAAACCGACACAGGUGGUUGGGUAGAGAAUACCAAGGCGCUUGAGAGAACUCGGGUGAAGGAACUAGGCAAAAUGGCACCGUAACUUCGGGAGAAGGUGCGCCGGUGAGGGUGAAGGACUUGCUCCGUAAGCUCAUGCCGGUCGAAGAUACCAGGCCGCUGCGACUGUUUAUUAAAAACACAGCACUCUGCAAACACGAAAGUGGACGUAUAGGGUGUGACGCCUGCCCGGUGCCGGAAGGUUAAUUGAUGGGGUUAGCUAACGCGAAGCUCUUGAUCGAAGCCCCGGUAAACGGCGGCCGUAACUAUAACGGUCCUAAGGUAGCGAAAUUCCUUGUCGGGUAAGUUCCGACCUGCACGAAUGGCGUAACGAUGGCGGCGCUGUCUCCACCCGAGACUCAGUGAAAUUGAAAUCGCUGUGAAGAUGCAGUGUAUCCGCGGCUAGACGGAAAGACCCCGUGAACCUUUACUAUAGCUUUGCACUGGACUUUGAAUUUGCUUGUGUAGGAUAGGUGGGAGGCUUUGAAGCGUGGACGCCAGUCUGCGUGGAGCCAUCCUUGAAAUACCACCCUGGCAACUUUGAGGUUCUAACUCAGGUCCGUUAUCCGGAUCGAGGACAGUGUAUGGUGGGUAGUUUGACUGGGGCGGUCUCCUCCUAAAGAGUAACGGAGGAGUACGAAGGUGCGCUCAGACCGGUCGGAAAUCGGUCGUAGAGUAUAAAGGCAAAAGCGCGCUUGACUGCGAGACAGACACGUCGAGCAGGUACGAAAGUAGGUCUUAGUGAUCCGGUGGUUCUGUAUGGAAGGGCCAUCGCUCAACGGAUAAAAGGUACUCCGGGGAUAACAGGCUGAUACCGCCCAAGAGUUCAUAUCGACGGCGGUGUUUGGCACCUCGAUGUCGGCUCAUCACAUCCUGGGGCUGAAGCCGGUCCCAAGGGUAUGGCUGUUCGCCAUUUAAAGUGGUACGCGAGCUGGGUUUAGAACGUCGUGAGACAGUUCGGUCCCUAUCUGCCGUGGACGUUUGAGAUUUGAGAGGGGCUGCUCCUAGUACGAGAGGACCGGAGUGGACGAACCUCUGGUGUUCCGGUUGUCACGCCAGUGGCAUUGCCGGGUAGCUAUGUUCGGAAUAGAUAACCGCUGAAAGCAUCUAAGCGGGAAACUAGCCUCAAGAUGAGAUCUCACUGGAACCUUGAGUUCCCUGAAGGGCCGUCGAAGACUACGACGUUGAUAGGUUGGGUGUGUAAGCGCUGUGAGGCGUUGAGCUAACCAAUACUAAUUGCCCGUGAGGCUUGACCAU
rnacentral:rRNA from 1 species